CCCUUAGAUGUUCUGGGCCGCACGCGCGCUACAAUGGCAGACUCAGCGAGUUACCUCUGUCGAAAGGCACAGGGAAUCUUUACAGUAUCUGCCGUGAUGGGGAUAGACCCUUGUAAUUUUUGGUCUUCAACGAGGAAUUCCUAAUAAACGCAAGUCAUUAACUUGCAUUGAUUACGUCCCUGCCCUUUGUACACACCGCCCGUCGCACCUACCGAUUGAAUGGUCCGGUGAAGUCCUCGGACCCAGUUGAACCUCGAGUUGAACAGGGAAAGUUGACUAAAUCUUACCAUUUAGAGGAAGGUGAAGUCGUAACA
rnacentral:rRNA from 1 species